rnacentral:rRNA from 1 species
CCUACGGGAGGCAGCAGUGAGGAAUAUUGGUCAAUGGGCUUACGCCUGAACCAGCCAAGUCGCGUGAGGGAAGACUGCUCUAUGGGUUGUAAACCCUUUUUGUCAGGGAGCAACGCCGGCUACGUGUAGCCUGACUGAGAGUACCUGAAGAAACAGCAUCGGCUAACUCCGUGCCAGCAGCCGCGGUAAUACGGAGGAUGCGAGCGGUAUCCGGAUUUAUUGGGGUAAAAGGGCGCGUAGGCGGAAUGCAAAGUCAGCGGUAAAAUCGCGGGGCUAAACCUCGCUCUGCCGUUGAAACUGGCGUUCUUGAGUAGGCGAGAGGUAUGCGGAAUGCGUGGUGUAGCGGUAAAAUGCGUAGAUAUCACGAAGAACACCGAUUGCGAAGGCGACAUGCCGGCGCCCAACUGACGCUGAAGCACGAAAGCGUGGGUAGCGAACAGGAUUAGAUACCCGUGUAGUC